rnacentral:ncRNA from 1 species
GCUGUUUGAGGUGGUAAAUUUCGUGGAGGCCACGCGCUGACGGUAUGACAGGGGAAACCCGAGAGAUGCAGGAGAACGCCACGCCUGCCGGACAGU